rnacentral:rRNA from 1 species
GUACACUCCUACGGGAGGCAGCAGUGGGGAAUUUUGGACAAUGGGCGAAAGCCUGAUCCAGCAAUGCCGCGUGAGUGAAGAAGGCCUUCGGGUUGUAAAGCUCUUUUGUCAGGGAAGAAACGGUGAAAGCUAAUAUCUUUUGCUAAUGACGGUACCUGAAGAAUAAGCACCGGCUAACUACGUGCCAGCAGCCGCGGUAAUACGUAGGGUGCAAGCGUUAAUCGGAAUUACUGGGCGUAAAGCGUGCGCAGGCGGUUUUGUAAGUCUGAUGUGAAAUCCCCGGGCUCAACCUGGGAAUUGCAUUGGAGACUGCAAGGCUAGAAUCUGGCAGAGGGGGGUAGAAUUCCACGUGUAGCAGUGAAAUGCGUAGAUAUGUGGAGGAACACCGAUGGCGAAGGCAGCCCCCUGGGUCAAGAUUGACGCUCAUGCACGAAAGCGUGGGGAGCAAACAGGAUUAGAUACCCUGGUAGUCCC